ncrna:Nicotiana tabacum cultivar TN90 Ntab-TN90_scaffold1311, whole genome shotgun sequence
AUGCCAUGGUGAGGACACUUCACCAACAUCUCUUUAAAUCUUUCCCAUGUUUCUUGCAAGGUCUUAGUUGACUGCUGCUUAUAUUGCAAUAUUUCAUCAAUCUGCCU